UACGUAGGUGGCGAGCGUUGUCCGGAUUUAUUGGGUUUAAAGGGUGCGUAGGCGGUCCUAUAAGUCAGUGGUGAAAUACCGCAGCUCAACUGUGAGGGUGCCAUUGAUACUGUAGGACUUGAGUGAAUUUGAGGUAGGCGGAAUUGACGGUGUAGCGGUGAAAUGCUUAGAUAUCGUCAAGAACACCGAUAGUGAAGACAGCUUACCAAGCUUCAACUGACGCUGAGGCACGAAAGUGUGGGGAUCAAACAGG
rnacentral:rRNA from 1 species